UCACAGGAAAGAAGAGGGGUGAACCUGCCAGCGGUGGCUAUGCUGCAGCUCACUGAUCUUUGCAGGCUGCAGGUAGAGAGGAGGAAGUGAGAAUCCUCUCCAGGAUUACAGAAACCUCGUGUCCUUUUGUUUCCAUACAGGAUGUGCUCAAGAAAUGCAAGAUGGAAAAAGAAAAUCAAUAGUUAUUGAUGCUAAAAUAUUAAUGUUUCUUCAGAAUGAGGGGUGGAAUAGAGUGAGCUCCCAGGAGUUCACUGCAGCCCUGACUGCAGCACUGCAGAUUUUGCAAGAGCAUUGGAGAGCAGAGGUAGGGCCAGCAUGGGCAGGGAAACAAGAGUCUGGUGUGAGCUGACUUUUGUGGACUCUCCGAAGGUCUCUGACACCUUGCAGAGUGAGGUGGGUGCUGUGCAGUGCCUGUCCUGUGUGCCAGGGGUACAAUGGCAGCCAGCAUUGCCUGCUACCCCGCGCUCCUGGAAGAAUCCCAGCAGGGUGUGCAUCCACUGCUCCUGGGUGGGUGCAGCAGGAAUGGCCCUGCAGCUUCUGCUGCCCAGCGCCGUCCCAGGCUGCCAUGGCCCCUGUGUGCCCUGGGCCAGGGCUGUGCUCCUGCCCUGGGACUGUCCUCUUGGCUGGGUAGAGAGGAGCCAUCAGGAGCUGGGAACAGGGGCACCGGUACUGAAACAAGUACAGGUAGUGUAAAGUGUGGGUAUGACUUAGAAAGGAUUACACAGAGAAACAGGCCAAGGUUUCCCCAUGCUGAGGGCGUCAUCCCUCCCCAGUGGUUCAGGCCUCUCAGUUACCCCUUCCCAGCAGGUUUGUUGCCAUUACUGUGCAGAAGAGUGUGUUGAUGACAGAGAAGAGCAGAGUGUGCCUGUGAUCUUUGCAGCUGCCUGGCAGAGCUGGCUCUGUCCUUGCCGUGCUGCCGUGAGGCGAUCUGACACCUUGGUUCCAAGCCUCCAGAAACGCCCCGAGUUCACAUCAUGCUCCUUUUGUUCAGGCUUCCAGAGGAGUUUCUUUUUAGAUAAAAGCCUUCAGAUGGGAUUUAUGUGAACGUGAAACCCCAUCAGGCAUGGGCAGAUUUGGGUUUCCCAGCCCAUUCCUUGGGUGCUGCUGCCAUCUAGGGUGUGAGCCAGCAGAGCCUCGGUGCUGGCAGCCACGGCCUUAUCGCACUGUCCACGGCCCCCACGGCCUUAUCACACUGUCCCACGGCCUUAUCACACUGUCCCACAGCCUUAUCACACUGUCCCACAGCCUUAUCACACUGUCCAUGGCCUUAUCACACUGUCCACAGCCUGCUCUGCAGGGUUUGCUCUGAAGGGUUGGUGGCAGCCAGGCCAGGGCCCACCGCCGCUGCCAGGGCUGAGCCACAUUUGGGGUUAAACGUGGUCAUAGCACCUUACUACGAGGAGUUAUUCCAAGGAGAAAGCUGUGCGAGUGCAGAGCAGCAGCGUUCUGAGGUGGCGGGGUGGUGUGGGGACACGGGCUCUGGUUCCUGGGUUGCCAUGAGCUCCCUGGUGCUGCAGCUGCAGUGACACUGCCGGGGCUGGCCAGGGGCCCUGGGCUCACGGCAGCUCUUGCCCCUGGCUGGCCAGGUUGGCUUGGCUGUUGUUCAAGUCCCUGUGCAGACUGCCAGGCUGUGUGGAAGGGUCAGAGAUGGCUGUGGUGACUCUGAGCUGAAGCCCCUCUGAAGCAGGCUUGUGCUCCUCAUGGGCCCUACUGCCACCUUUGUUUCUGUGUCAAACCAGACACAAAACAAAGGUACUGCCACCUUUGUUUUGUGUCUGGUCUGCCAACCCAAGAAGUUUUUACACACACUUAGAGAGAAUGUGAGCCAAAGCCAGGCUGGCUCCUGCCCAGCCUGAGGGGCGCAGGGAGGGAACAGAUGUUCACUCCAAACCAAAAUCAUUCCUGAGCUUGAAUCUGCUCUAAUGGCUCUGGCCCUGCAUCAAAGACUUCAAAGCAAAAGGAAUUUUUUUAACAGUUCCAGCUCAGGUGUAACUGAAAUCCCAUUUUACAGACUAUUUCCACAGACUCCAUGUUUGUGAAGUUCAGGAAACAGGGCUCACUUUUCUGCAGCAAACUGGAGCCUGGCUGAGUGUGCUGAUGCCACGUGGAUUUUCCCUGAGCUUGCCUUGGUGAGGUAAAGCUCUGAGCUCAAAUUCCUGGAUAAAUAAAUUUACAUAUUUAAAUAUUGGGUGAAAUUUAAAUAUUGGGUGAAAUCCCUCCCAUCUGUCCUGGAAGCAGGUGAGGGACUGCCAGGGCUGUUUGCCACCCUUGGGACGGAUGAAGCAGGCACUGAGUAAUGCAGAUCAAUAGCUCUGCUGUGUUGUUGUGACCCUCCUGAUGGAAGGAAUGGCCCUUGAGAUGCCUGUGGACUUCAGAACAGGAGACAUGGCUGCCACAAACAACCAAGUACAUUUCUAAACUGGUUUUUCUAAUUUUUUUGUUAUUUUUAACCAUUUCUAUAAGUAGAACCAAAGCUGUGGAUCUGCAUCUUACUCUGGCAAAUCAUUUCCCCCUUGUGCCCUCCUGUGGUACCUCCUUACUCUGCUUUCACUCAGCAAUACCUCAUCUUUUCUGUCAUUCUUCCCUUUCCUCACAUCCUCUAAUGUUUUCAUUAUUUUAAGUAAGUCUGUGCUGAUAUCAUCUGUAUAGUCCACAGUGUCCAGUUGUGAGACAAAGUCCACCAAAGGGCCAGCAGAAAUUUGGUGUUUUCCUCUCAAUGGCAGCUAUGCUUUGUUCCAGGUUUCCUAUUGAUUCUGAUGAAUUUCAGCAACUUAGAGCACAGAUUCUGACAUAUUUUUCAUGUGCUGUGGCUGUAGAAUGAAGUAUGGUUCAGAUUUUAGAAGAGCUAUAGUUUCAAAUGCUUUGACAUGUUCUUUUGGCAUGCCUCAUAUACUUAUUAGUCCACGCAGGUAAGUUCCCUCCUCCAUUUCUUACAAAUCGAUUCUUUACACAGCUACUACAACAUUUUGCUCUUUUGAUGUGAGCAUAGGAUUGAUCAAACCUUAGAGUGCUCAGGAGUGGAGACAUGACUUAAAACAUGCAAAAUAAUACUGGGGUGAACAUGUCUGUGGCUUCUAGUGCUGGGUGCAGUGGGGCAGAUUUAGAGCUACUUGGUUUUACACCAAGGCUUUGGGCCUCACUAUUUACUAACCUUCAAUAAAUAUUAGUUACUGCCAGUAUUUACUUAACUGACUUACUGCACUGUUUUGGUUUCUUUUUUUACUUUUUCAUGUUUUGAAAUUAUGUGAAGUUGAAAGAAAAUAUUCUUCCCUUUGAAAGAAAGCAGAAGACUGCACACUAAGGAGCACUUCAAGUUAUAUCAUACCUUGAAGUGAUGCUUUUGGGCCACAAAACAAGAGAAGUGGUGCUUCAACUGAGAAGGCUUUGUGGGUGGGGACUGUGAGGGAUGGUGGUGUCCCUGCAGUGGUGACACUCAGCAAGACUGAAUAUCAGCAGAGAGAAAAGCAGCUUGCUAGGUACAGGCACCAGAGAAAGGAAACCUUCAGCAGCUUACCUUAGCAGCCAUGCAGAGCUUGGGGCAGAGCUGUGGGGUGGAUCUGCACUGUCUGAUGUGGAGCCACAGCAGGAGCCUCAGCUGCAGAGGACGUGCCCACGUGGAGUGUGUGACACCUCCUGAAGGAUGGCUCCAUCCUCCCCAGGGCUAACCUGGCUGGUGCCCUGCACAGGAGGGGACACCCACACCUACAGCACAUGAACCAGCUCAAGGAAGCCCCAACUCAGCUGCUGCUGCUUCAGGGCAGAAGACCCCAAACCUGAUGGUUUUGACAUAAAAAAGACGAUUUCCCUGAUGAAAUUGGCCUGAAACUGGCCGUUGGUGCCCUGAUGAAGGUGCAUUCCAAUAAAGAAAAUCACUGCUGCAGUGCAUUUGAGGAGGGCCUAGCUUCUAGUUAUCUGUGAAACAGCUGAGAUCAAAGAACCUUUACACGUGUUUGCUUUUAAGCAUCACUGAAACCAGAGCUGGGCAGGGAGAGGCAAGGAGAAGAAAAGGCAACUUUGGAAGACUGAGGCCAUUGAUCCAGUGCUGGAAAAAUGUUCCCAGAUGUCUUCCCAAGGAGCAAAGUCUGACAUUGUGGCUGUUUCCUGCUCCUGGAAAAGCUCCCUGUGUGUCCAGCACAGAGCCACCAUGCAGUCCUUAACUCAUUACCUGGCCAUGGAUCCCCAAGGUGAGAUUCCCUGUGCCUCAGGAUUGUGAACACACCUAGAAACACACAAAGCCUAGGCAUAAACCUCUAUCCUAAACAUGGUUAAACGUGGCUUGAGAAGUUUUUUCAGAUGCUGGCAAUGCCCUGGGCAGUAACCUGGCCCAGGCUGUGCCCAGUCACCAGUCAGAGCUGGGUGGCUUCAGGCAGCAUGGGGCACUGGCUGGGCCUAGCUCUGCUCUCCAGCUUGGCAAAACAUCUUCACUAGAAGGUGUGGAAGAGGUUUGGAGAGGCUGCAGAGCUGUGCAGGGAAGUGGGGAGGGACACAGAGCUCUUGGGUGGGGGCUUGUGCCCACAGGCAUCUGUGCCUGUGCCCUUGAGUCCAGGUGUGCCCGUGCAGAGCCCCAGGUGUGGGCAGACAGCUCUGGCACUUUGUGGCACUGGGGUACACCUGAUUUAUCUGACCAUGCAGGGGUCACCACGUCAUGUGUUUGUGGUUAUUGGUACUUUUGUUGGAAAAGCAGAACUGUCGUGUCUCAUUUGGGUAAUGCCUGGCAAGCCUCAAAUUGUACAUGAAAUCCAUGGUGAAAAGCAGUUCAAAAUUCUGUGCUCGAGUGUAUUCUGUGCCCUAGAAACUGUUAAACCCUUUCAUGUAGUGACAGGAGGUUAGCAUAUCUGCAGAGAGAGGGAGACUGCUGCUGGUUUAGCAAAAGAUUAGUUGAUGUAAAAAGCUAAAGGUCUUUGUGUGUUUUAACCUCCUAAAGCCAGCUGGAAGUUGGGAUAUCUAAUCUAAAAGGACUGGAAGAAGUGUUUAGUAGCCCAAAGGCAAGGGUCAAAAUUCAAAACCUCCAGCAUCAUGAUGUUCCAAAGAAGAUGGGGAAACAUCAGAUUCCCCAGUGCCAGCAAAGAAACGUGGAGGAUAACAGAAUGUGCUGUGUAGGAGUGUAAAUUCUGUGCCCCAGCUACAGGGCUGAGGGUUUUACUUACAACUGAUGGGUCCAAGAAAGAGAAAUGAGGGAACUUCUAGGUUUUGGGUCCAGUAAAUGCUAAGGAAAUGUGUUUAGCUAAUGCUUCUCUGUUACAAAAACAGUCCCAGUGCUGUUUUCAGCUGUAGACAAUGGGUUGUGCACAAUUAUGAUCUGUUAAAAAAAGACCCAAAGCAGGAUCUUGGAUGCUUUCUGAUCUAUCCCCACCAGGCUGGAAAGGACAAAGCAGUUGGGUGCAGACAUCUGGGCAACCUGUCUACCUUUAGCUUUUGAUAUGUUGAUUCUGGGACUUUAAAAUAAAUUUGGUUUUAUUUUUUAUUUGGAGCAUUCUCACUUCAUCAGUUCUGUGUUGUCAGAUGGGAAGGGAAUGAAAAUUCUUCUGGCUGCACAUGUUUCACCUAACACUGGAUAUUUGGUACUACCCAAGGUUUUCUCCAAAUCUAAACUAGGUUAGUCCUGUACCUCCUGAGCAGACAGGCUGUCUCAGCGCAGUAAAGAAGUCUGAACUUGUCAUAUUUGACAAGACCUGAGCUUGCUGCAAUAUGAUGUAAAGUUUAAUGAGAAGGGGGUGUUACUUUCCAACCAAAUGAGGUCACUUUUCCCUUGUUGGGCAUAAUCCUUUAUUAUACCAGCAGAAUUAUGGUACAAAGUCCAUUUAAUUUCCCACACAUAAUGAAGACAAGCACUCAUGACAACUUGUGAUGGCUCUUUGGCAAGUAAAUAUUUAACUUUUGCACGAAUAUAUUUGUUUGUUGUUAGAAGAUACAGAACUAAUUAUUCUCUGGGAAUUAUAACAAAAAUUGAAGAAGCACAACCAUGGUGUACUUGUACAAUACAUUUGUAAUUGCAGCAAGAAAGGGGAAAAAUAAAAAUUUCAUUAGGGAGAGGCCAUGUUUUACACAACUCCUGUGAGAAAGGAGAUCCCAUGUAUAGGAUGAACUCUAUGAAGAAUCUGGGCACAGGAGGUUGAGUUUCGUGAACAUUCACUCCAUGGCUUAUAUCAGCAUUUGCAAGAGCUGCCAUGAAUAUUUCCACUUGAAAUCCAAUGAAUUAUCAAGGGUGAAGAUGUAGAAUUUCAUUGAGAUAUUCUAUACAGUCAUUACAAUACACCCAGGUUUUGAAGCAUCUAGAUCUCAGGAUGCUCUAUAAGCAGAAUAGAGUGAUAUAGCUCACUGCAUCUGCAGAAGGUCUCAUGAAAUGCAAAAUAAAUAGCUGAAAGAAAUAUUCUUACUAGGGGAAAAAUGAGGCUUCAAUGUGUGUCAUAAAUUUAGCUAACAGAAUCCUGAACAGGGAUACUGCUUAUAGAUUUCAACACCACCCCCACCUCCGCUCGAGCAGCAGCUCAAUCUUCCUUCCUUCUCAGCAAAGUCCUGUUAAAACAACCCCAUUCCAGCACUAAUGCUGACAUCCUGAUCCUGCUGCUGUGCAGGAGCAUUCUCAAGGUCACUGCAGUCUCUAAAAACUCUUGGUGAUGUCAGUUGGAGUUUGGGGGUUGAGAAUGUGAUGUUGGUGUAAACCACCGUGGCACAAGGGAGACAGGCUAAAUGCACAGGAGACAGCCAUUCCUCCUUUUCAUGAAGGCAUGCAGAAUAUGCCACCAAACCUUCUAGGUCCAUUUCCAAUGAUAGGCAAAAACCUUGGGAAUCCUGAGGAGCAGGAUAAUGAGAACCUCAUGACAUGCAGAGAGGUAAAACACAGCCAGUCCUGCCCUGGGGACACAUCAGCCCCAUGGGCUGGGGACUCACAGCUCAGGGAGCUCUGCAGAGAGGACCUGGGGCACUGCAGGUGUAUUGAAGGUGGUGACACCUGCCUGUGUUUUGGGCUGUUCAGGUGUGGCCACAGGUCAGACACUGCACUCAGCACCUGUGAGGCUGCAGCUCCAGGGGGACACUGUGGCCUUGGUGUGUCCCUGGGCUGCAGAGAGGUCACCAAGGGGGGACACUGUGGGUUUGGUGUGUCCCUGGGCCACAGAGAGGUCACCAAGGGGGGACACUGUGGGUUUGGUGUGUCCCUGGGCCACAGAGAGGUCACCAAGGUGGACACUGUGGGUUUGGUGUGUCCCUGGGCCACAGAGAGGUCACCAAGGGGGAUCAAGUCCAGCAGAAAGUCAGUGGGUGCUCAGGAGAGUGCAGCAUGUGGUAUUUCAGGAGAGGCUCUGAGGGCUGGGUUUAUUUAGCCAGGAGGACAUAAGAUAAGGGGGCAUCUAAUCACUGUCUACCAUUAAUGGAAAGGGACAAGAUGGGUGAUGGAUUCAGACUCUGGCACAGAGUGCUGCACUAAGACGAGGAGUGGUCAUGCAUUGCAGCAAGGGAAAUUCCUUCUGUUUGCAUAUGGGAAAAAAUCCUCAGAAUAAGGGUUAUGCAGCACAGGAACCACAUUCCUUGGGGAGGCUGUGGGCUCUCCAUCCUCGAGAUUUAUCAGAAGAGAACUGGAAAGGCUCUCAAUAACCAACAUAGAAGUUGUCCCAGCUUUAAACAGGAGGCUGAACUGGAAGCUUUCAUAGGUCCCUUCUCACCUCAGUUAUCCUCUGAUUCUCUGACUUUAUUUCAGGAAGCUGCUAAUACCUGUGAAAUUUGGUCCUACCGUGAAAAAAUGGUUGUUAGUAUGGCACUCCAUCCUUCAGUAAAUAUGUUCCAUGUGGAUAUUUAUAGUCCUGCCUGCUCCCUUCAGUGAGAACAGGACGUUCUUCCUCCCAUAAGCUCUGUACAGCUGCCAGGAGAGGUGGUGGAAGCCUUUCCUCCCCUCACCUACUGUGGAUGUUCAUUGGUUUCAGUUCCACAGCCCCUGCAAUACCCAAGGAUCUGUGUAAGUGUUUGAAAGGAUCUAAUUUAAAAAGAUAGCUGUCUCUUCUAGGCAGUGCUAGUAUCCGUGGGUGAGUUUGAUUGGCUUGCAGACCAUGUGUUAAUUUCGGGGACAAGAAUAAAAAGAGGAAAAAACCAGCUCCCAUCUGCUCAUUGAGCUGCUCCUAUCCCUGGGGACACACAGCUUGUGUCCUGGAGCCUCCCUGGCAGCGCUGUGGGGUGGUUCCAGGCAGAUGUGGGGGUGACCUGCUCCCCUCCCUCUCCCUGCCCUUCCUGGUGGUCCCUGUGUCCAUCCUGGAGCAGUGCCCAGGCCACCCAUGGAGCCUGGGGCAGCCGGUUCAGCCCUGGAUCCUGCCGGCCUUGGGGCUGAAACGAAAGGGAAUUGCUUGGACACCAAGAACUUCCAUCAGGAGCACCUGGUAUUUGUGAGAAUUGUUCCCUGAGGAUGAGUCUGGGUACAGAGCAACAAGAAAUUCUCGGGAAGGUUGGAUUUCAAUGGGGAUGACUCUUUUUCCCUGCCAGCUGUUUCUCUCUUAGCUGUGUUCUCUCUAAUGAAAUUGCCCAUUCAGCGCUGGGUUUGUAAUUUAAACUGAGUGCUAUAGAUUAACAGUUGUUGCUGCUUUAUUAUUGAAAUGAGAGUCAUGAGAUCAAUUUAACUGUUCCUGGCUUCAUUAUUUGCUUAAGACAAUAGACUUAUCUCUGCAAAUUCUAUUGCUUUGUGGGUAUUUUUAGCUUAAUUAUCAUAGAUAUUAGCAACAAUCAACAAAGAUUUCUUAGGUGCAAGUGCUUGCUCCUUGGAACACCAUUUUUUAAUAGAUUUUGUACUUUUAACUUUUUGUAGUCAAUCCAGUCUGCUCUCAGGAAAAAGCCACCAAACAGGAACAACAGCAAAAGGAAAACAAUCCAACUUAUUUUGGAAAGACUUAAAUGUUUUCUUAGUAGUUUAUUUUCAGAAUUAAAUGCAUAAUGAAGGUUGUGUCUUCUGUUAUACACGUAGUUAAAUAUUCUGGCAAUUGAGUCUGUGUAGGUACAAUGGGAACUACAGCUGUUUUGGAGCGCUGGGGUAUUUAAAAUCAUCCAGAAUAAAUUAAAAGCUUGCUUUGACGUGAACUUUCAGCAAGGCCUGACUGAUUCUAGGUUUCCCUUGCUUAGCAGUCAAAAGCUACAGCCAGGCCUGCUGCCCCAAGGUUUGUGGAGCAGCAGGUUUGUCUCUGCCAACCUGGCCAAGCAGUGACCACAGGUCCCCAGGCAGAGGUUAGUGCCUCCAGUGAAGGGAGGGAGAGUUAGGUUCAUUUGAGUUGGAUUGGCAUAAAAACCUAACCUCUGGUGUUGCCAAACCAUUAAAAAAAAUAAAAAUCUCUCAGUAUGACUUCCUAGACUCAUAAAUCCUACAUUCACCUAUAAUUGGAUUAAUGUUCCCCAGCUGGUUUAGAGCAGGGGGAGAAGGUGUCAGGGAAUGUGCUCUUUGUCCAGUGAAUGCACAGAGCUUUGGAUCCUGGCAUGAGUUAAAGGUUCUUGAACAAUUUUAUGUGGAAUAUGUAAACAAAAGUCUGUCUGGUGGGUUGAAGGAUAGCUGGAUACCCCAGCAGAGCAAAGAAAUCCAUCUGCAGUGUUGUUUACACCACCUCUUCCAUUUAAAAUAUAGCAGGAGAAAGUCUUAUUAACAUUUCUUAAGAGUGUUAGUAAAAGGACUAGACAGCUUCCUGCAUUUGAGUGUCAAAAAAGCAAUUUUAAAAUCUAGUUUCAUAUAACAUAAAUAUGUUUAUCUUGCAGUCAACAUUUUACUAACCAUUUAGAUUAUUUCUAGAUACAUUAACCAUAAUUGCUGAAAACCUCUUAGACUGCUUUCAAACUGCAUCCCUCACAAGAAAAUAUUCUAAGAUGUUUUUAUCUUUUAAAUAAGCAGGAUUAUUCUUAUGUCACAAGCUUUUGUACAUCAUUCUCUCUCUGUAUUUCCUGCUUUUCCCCUUCUCCCCAAACAGGCAAGACAGUGGGAAAGCAGGGCUAAUUUUAUAUCCAUUUUAACAGAUGACAGACUAGUAAAAGUCUAGUGUAGAUGCUGUGGGGGCUCUGUUCUAGCCUUGCACCUCAAAUCUUGUAGGACUUAAGUUGUUGGAUAUUCUGCUGCAUUCAGGCUAAAGUAUUUUGCCCAAGGAUGCAAAGAAUGAUUAAAAAUCAAUACACAAAAUUGGGUUCAAUGCCACUUCCAUUGGACUGUGCUCUUAAUUGCUUUACUUUUAACUUACUGGUUCAGAAUUUGGACAUCCUUCUGGAAAGGUGAGCUUUGGCAUGUGUCCUUGUCAAAUGAAGCCUUCCUGGCUGAAUUUCUGAUGUCCAGAGGUCAGUGACAGGCAGGAGGGAAAAGAAUGUGUGUGGCUUUUUGCUUGAUUGGUUUCUGUGCAGGUGAGACAGAGGGGUGCCAGAUUGUGUUCAUGAGCCAAAUACUGGGUUUGGUGUCUCAUCACAAAAAUCCAGAGGGGAUGCAGGUGGGAGCUGGGGCCCAGCAGAUGUGGCUGUCCCCACAUCUGCAUGCUGAGCAGUGCCACCCUGCAGUGGUGGCUGUCCCCUUCCCCCUGGCAUGGCUCCACACACAGCUCCUCUGCAGGCUGCCACCACUGGUUUUCACGUUCUCCAUCAUUUUGCCUGCAGUAGAGAGGCUCUCUUCUUGAAAAUAACAACAACCAAGAUUUAAUGAGGAGAUUUAGCUUUCCUUUCAUAAGACCAUGGCUGUAAUAGAGUUUGCCUGCCUGAAUAGUCCCAUGGCACAGGCAGAAAUUCCAAUAUUUCCUUCUUUAGCAUUAUUUGACCAACUAAAAAAUUCAAGCCAAGGAUAGCUUGUAUUGGAAGAAUACAAAUGGGUUUUUUCUCAAUAUCAGAACAAAGAGAUGCACACAUAACUGUAGGUGGUAUGGAAAUGAGUGUUUGCGAGUCUGUAACAGCAGGAUAUAAAUUGCUCCCAAAUGAUUGUUAUUUUUUUGCCAUGCCAGUUUAGCAUCUCUCCCAAUUCUGAGAGAUGCUAAAGGAGACUUUUCAAGCAGAAGCUUCCAGUGAGACCGUGGGCUCUGCACAAAAUAACCGCAGACCAGAAAAAUGGAAAAAUUGUGUAUUUUAGUAAAUAAUGCUUUAUGGAGCAAGUGCUGCAGUGAGCUAAUAUUCACCCCACCUGAGGUGGCUCUGCAAUUCACACUACCCCUGUACAGAGUGACCUUGUGCCUCCCAAAUCUUCUGCUGCUGAACUCCACAGGCUGUUCCUAUCUCUUGACAUGCUGUUCCUCUGCUGUGCUGGGCAUGGUUGUUGUCCUUCAGUCUCACCUUGGAGCAGAUUGGUAGAAACUUUCAAUGUGCAUCCACUGUGCACCUCUCCUUUCUUCAGUUGUUUUGUUGUAGCCAUAACUUUGGUUCUUGAAAUAAAUAUCCUGCAAGUUACUAACCUGUCUCCCAUCAUCUGAAGGCAGAUUUUUCAUCUAGACUCUCUGAGGAUGUCUAAAAGGAGUUCCAAAGGCUCUGUGUGCUGGGGAGAAGGUGGCUCUUUGCACAUCACAAAAUUUUUGGGAGCAACACUAACUCAUUCACACCUUGGUCAAAUUAGCAUUGACUAAGGAGGUGACAGAAACAAAAGACUUUCUCUUACAGCCAUAAUUCAAACUCUGACACUCACUGAUUUGGAUAAAAAGCUUUGUUUUUGUAGUAAAUGCUCUCCUGCAAGAACUCAUUGUUCAACAAAGUAAACACUGAUUUAGAGCUCUAAAUUCAGUCCAUGGUCUGAGCUUAAAGCAAAUAAUUUUGUACUACUAACUUAAUUUCAUCUGCCAUUAGUACAGACCCCUCUUAAGUCCUUACUGUGAUUCCUCUCAGGUUAUAUCUCACAUGGUGGGGUUUUGAAUACCACAUUUUUAUACAGAACACAGAUUAGGAUGGUACAAUGAGAUAUCUUGAUGCCACUGUAUGAUAAUAUUUGAUCUGUGUGGAUGUUUUUGUUCUUUUUCUGGUGCAUGGGUUGUGUGAACUGGAAUAGAGCCUAGCAGCAAGAACCUGACAUGUCCUGUCCCACACAGCCAGAAACCACAGCCAGGAGGAAAACUGUGCUCUUUGCACCCAGCAAAGUCAGGCUGCAAGAGGGGACACGCUUUGGGUCCUAACUCAGCUGGCCCCAGUGGGGGAAUGAAGAACUUGGAGAACAUUAAAGAGAGUUUGCCUCUUGUUAGCAAUCCCUUAGUGCACACCCUCCUCCGUUCUUACAGUCUGCUCUGGUUGUGUUGGGACAGGAGAUUUUCCAUGUAAUUAGUUGAGGCAGAAGGAGAAGAGGCUGCCUACUGAUAAUUUGAGUGCAGGUCCAAUGAGAUUAACAGUGUGGGACAGCUGGGGUGGAAAGCCAGGUAUGAUUAUUUUCCAUUAGCCAAGCAUACCUCUUCCCUGAUGAGAAUGGCUAUUGCUCAGCUUCUGCCAGAUCCAAGGAAAACACACCUGUCCUCUUUGUCCAGGCAGUUUGUAAUGUGCUCUGGGACUUUCUGAGGUGAGAAGAGUGUUUGUCACUGCUGUUCAGCUGAGAAAUGUUUCAGGAAACAAUUACCAUCUGCCUACUGCCCGAAGAGCGAGAAAACCAAUAGGUUCUGGUAAGGUAAUGACCACAAAUUCAGGUCACAGGUUUUCAAUCAAACCUUGAUUGAGAUGAGAAACCAUGAGGGACCAUUUAACAUGACAGUAACUCCAAUUACAGCAUCUUCAAUACCCUACUGAAGCCAAUGGCUGUUCUAUUUCCCUCCUGUGGCAGCAUCCUCACCAGGAUGAUCUCUGCUCCCUCAGCUUUCCUGCAGUGAGGAUCCUUUGUCCCCAGUGAUUCGUGGAUGGGACAGUGUUCUGUGGGACAGAAGUUUUGCUCCUGUGAUUUAUCCAUCCUAGACCAUUGCCAAUUGCUGCAGUCUCAAGGCUCCUUCUGCAAGGACAAAGGACUCAGCCUUUGGUCUCACAAAUACAUUUGCUCACUGGAACUGGGUUAUUAUCCCAUAAAACCUUUCAUCCUGUUAAUGAAGGGAGCAUGAAGCAUGUCAAAUAGACAGUAAUUGAUAUAAGCUGAAUGCUGCAGCCUGGCCUGAUAGGGAACGUUCCAGCCUACUUUAUUUUCAGAACUAUCACCCUAAAAAAUAUUUACGGAUGGGUGGGUUUUCCUACUCUCUCUAAGGCUGGGAAGUAGGUGGAUGGUACAAUCCCACCCAUUUGUUUUUCAAAUAGUUAUUCAUCAUUGGAUGGCUUUCUCAAAGGGAUAUAGAAACAUCCUUUGCUCAGGAUGGCAGAGAAAGCCAAGAAAACAACAUGUUUGUUUUUGCCUGGCUCAUUUAUUGCUUACAGUUUGUCUGUGCAUUUAGGAAGACAAGGUGAAUUUAAAUGCAAAGCAGCAGAGAAAUCCACUGAGAGGAAGAUAAAAGAGUCUGAAGCCAUUACAGACAAGUGGGAUAAUUGAUGGUAGGAAUCUGAAAAGAAAUUGCAUAUGAGACUUAACAACAUCUUGUCUUAUUUUUGGGAUGGUCAUUUUCAAUUGCCAACACUUGAGUCUGGCUGGAAUAGGGUACAAUUAGGCAGCCUCUGCUUAUCAGGAGAGAAGAAUUCCAGAGGCUCAGCACUGAGGGCUCAGAGCAGCUCCAGCUACCCUGUGCUUGCUGCUCUGCUUCUGACCUCAGAGAACUGCUCUGUGCAGAAAGCCUUGGUUCUUCUCAGAGGGGUGUGUGCUCAUCUGAACUUCUUCCAUGUGCUGAAAAACAAAAGAAAUGGGGAUGACAAAAGCCAAGUGGUUUCUGAUUUAGAGCCCCAUGCCAGCGUCAAAUGCCAUCUCCAGCACUCUGGCCACUCACUAUCCAGCAGUAGCUACUUACACAUUGCAGGGAAGUUAUUCCUACAAGCCUGAUUAUGAGAACAGAUCAGUGCACAGGGGUGUUAAAAUUGGUGUAGUUACUGUGCUUUACUAGUGCAGGAGGUCUGGUCCUCUGACCUGAGCUCUUUAGGUGCCUUGAGGUUAAUACCACUGAUUUCACUGUGGUGGAAAAUGCAGCAGCAACAGUUUUAGAACUAUUCCAAGUGACAAAGAGCUGUUGUUCAUUGCAAAACUUUCUGUUGCAGGUCGUGAAGCCCAAGUGGAGAAAUGCUUUCUCAGGUGAUUGUUCAGUUUUUGCUGCUAAUUUUCAAUAUUAAGAAUCAUCUUGGCCGUGGUUAGUAACGUUGAGUGAUGUGCUGUUCCAUCCAAUGGGACAAGAUGCAAGAGGUUCAAUGACUUGGAGUGAGCUGAAAAAAUGAAGGGGAAGAGCUGAACCAACCAGAACUUUACAAAUUCACCUUAUGAUAAUGAAUACCUGCUCCCUUCCUUCUCAGAGGAAUCAAUUCCAUUUUUCCAUCCUGAGGGGCAAAGAAAAUGCCAGUGCCAUAGACUGUUAGUGUGGAUUGGCUGAAACUGCAAAGAAAGAAAAAUUGUCUAAGUGUCCACAUGAGAGCAAGAGCAGCUCCCAUCCUGCAUCUUAAUGGCAGCAGAAAAUAACCAGCAAUUCUGCAGCAGAUUACAGGGUCACAUCUCUCAUUACUGUGGGGUAUGCAGAAGGCAGAGUACCUAACUACAGAUACCACAGUCCUGUCUGCUUCUCAAAAUACUCCUUUCAUUGCCUUUCUCUUCCUUUAUUUUUAAUAGCAAUAGAAUAUGCUUAACUGCAAAUGCUGGUACUUGCUGUAUUUUUCCUCAUCCCUGGAGUUAUAUAUUCAUUUCCAUCUUGUAAAAAUAACCUGUUUAUUCCAUUUCUAAGUCCUGCAUGAGAUGGUUCUCAUUUUCCCCGUUCCCUGUGGUUUUAUCACAACUGCCUGCCCACCUAUGUGCUUUGUCUCAGCUACAGAGUUUUCCUUCUCCAGAAAGCUGCCAAGCAGUUCUCUCCAGCAGCAGAGAAAUGAUGGUCAGUGCACAAGUCUUUUUGUGUUGAAUUAAUUGCAAGCCUCCCUACUAAUUUCAGGGAAAGCAGUAGAGUGUCCUAACUUAUCCUGGGUGAUUUGGGAGCUCGUUAAUUUCUCUGGUUGUCUCCAAUCAGUAGAAAUAGAUGAUUGUAUGCUCUGUGCGCUCCCACCUCCACACACCUCCAGCAUCUCACCCACCCUGGUCCCUGCUGGCUGUGCCAGCCCAGCCCAUCUGCUGAGGGGGCUGCAGCCCUCAGCAGGGACCAGCAGAGUCUCAGCAGCAACCAGGCUGGUCACCAGUGCCAGGGGAUGGGCAAACAGUGCUGUUGUAGCAGAGCAGACUGAGGAUGGAUGGCCAGAAAAAUCCACUUUCCACUCAAAAAUGUUCUGAAGCCCAGGGAUAUGUCAUUAAGGGGUGGUGGAAUUCUUUACAGGAUGGCCAAGCAUGUCUCAGCCCAUGGUGGCCAUAAAUCUUGGAGCUGGAGGGUGGGCUGGCUGUGCCCACUUGGCAAGCUACCUGCUUUUCCAUAGCUGUACAAUUCUUUGGUUUCCAAAAAUAAAUGUAAUUUUAUUACUAGCUGCCUUAUCAUUGCUUUAUUAUUUUCCAUUCAGAGCCUGCAAAAUUGAAUUACUGAGCAUCCCCUUAAUCUACCACUCCUCACACAGCUCUGGUCUCUUCUGAACUCAACCAGAACCAUCAGCUCUCAGGCAGGCAUGUGCAGAUGGAUCCCUGGAGCAUCUGUAGGACACAUUUAUGAGUAAUUACCUAUCAUCUAGAAGGUUACAGAGCAGCAGCUUAAGUGUGACCUGCCUUCUGCAUUUAUAUCCAAGUCGAGACUAAGAAACAUCUCUAGCAGAUGGGAAAAGUCUCCAGCCUCUCAAAGCCUCCCCAAGAUGGAUUAUUUACUAUCUAGCACCUCUCAGAGCAAAGAGAGCUUAGACAACACAGUUUCUCCUAGAUUUACCUAUUCUGUCCUCUAUAUUCCGUAAGGAUCCCAAUCAAGGUUCAUCAAAACACUGAAUGAGAUCCUAGCCAGCAGAGGGGAUUUUUUUUCACCUAUUUUGUGACCUAUUUUUUAUUUGUAUGCUGCUAGAAGGUUGCAUGCCUGGUUUUGACACGCUGUGUGUGCCACAUGCAGAAAUGUUUCCUGACCAGUUUACGCCAGAACCUUUCAGUCCCUGGGCUGUCUAACGCUGUGCUCACUCUGAUUAUUUGCUGCUCUCAGUGCAGGACUGUCCCACACAAGGCAGACAAGAGCCAGUCUCUCUCUGACCUGCAGGACAGUGUUGGGAAGGUGACAGCCUUAGGACCUGUUGGGACCCUCUCCAUAAGCCUCACCCACAUCUCAACAAAUUUACUCUUCUAUCUCUCAUGUUCUUUUUUAUGCCACUCUGGCAGAGAGUGAAAAUAUAAGCUUAGCUUUGUUUGGCUUUGCUGGUUUUGCAGAUUCAGUCUGGAUGCUGCUCUGAAAUGUCCUUUAGUGUGGAAAACACAGCUGCUGUGAGCAGAGGAAAUUAUGUAACCAGCUGAGUGAGUUUGUGGUGUUCCAAGGGGCUCCUCCAGACAGAAAAGGUGUUUGUGGCUCCUGGGGCUGGACAUGCACAUUGCUCACUGCCUGUGCCUUCGCUCUGAGCUGGCUUCAAUCCACGCCUACACUUUGUUGUUAUCUUCUCCCAGCUGCACACAACUCAUCCAGAGGGAAAUCACUUGUUUGGCUCUCUGUGAACAAAACCAAAUCCUUCUGGGGAGUUUUCAUCUAGCCAUCUAAAAGCUUGGCACAAAUUUGGACGUACAGAGGAAUUUCUUGAAUUGCAACUUUCUAACAACCUUUUCCAAAACUCAGAGUUGAAUUUGGCCUGAGCUUUAGAAAAUAUCCAGGCAAACCUUGUUAGGUACAAACUGUUUCACUUUCCUUUAAACCAACAUGAAAAAAAGAAGGAAAAGCUGACAUUUCAGUACUACAAACAGUUCAGCACUGGCUCAGUGGCUCCAAGACCUCUGUUGCCUCUUUCUACCUGCAGUGCCCUGAGACCACACAUUCAGAGAUUUUUGGGAAAUUUAGGAAGAACAAUGCUAUGGAAAUCUUAUCUCAUAAUUUUGGAUUUUUUUCUUUAAAUUAACCAAACAGUUAAAACAAACCAUGCAUGCAUUUGCAGCACCAAAGUUAAACACAUUUUAGGGAUGGUGAUAUUCAUGGGCAGCAAAAGUUACAGGAAAUAUAUGAAGUCUCUCCAACUGCAACCCCUAUUUUUUCCCUCAUGUCAUGAAGUCAUUGAUUCUUUAGAAUUUCCCAAAUGUGUCCAGAGUAAAAGCAGUGCCUUGCAGUGGGUUUGACACUAUUUUUGCCAUGGUCAAAGUGAAAGCUCCUAUUGUGAGCAGCAAAACCCUGGAGGGAAUGUGCCAGCCAGCAGAGAUUAAAUGUUCUUUGUAUUGUACAACAAAAAGUGUUGUAAGGUUGAUUACAAUAAAAGCUUUCCAAAGUGGCAGCAUUGGGUUCCUUCUCUUUUUGUCCUUCCUUUAAGCUGUUAUGAAAAGAAAUAACAUUUCAGUAAAGUGAAUGGCCAUUCAGUGCCCAGGAUAGAAUGUGCAUUCCUUUUUCAGGGACAGACAGUGACCACUGCAGUCCCCGGGGCUGAGUCGUGCAGCUGGGUCUCUGGCAGAAGGCUGUGCUGCUGCCUUGAAAACGGGGAAAAUUACCUUUAACAUACCCUGGUGUUGCUUUGAGGUUGGACAGGUUUAUGCCAAACUUCCUAGUCUCUCCAGAAGGCAGCUUCAUUAAUGUCACAGCAAUCUGGUAGGGGUGACAUGACUUCUGGAGAGUAACUAUUCAUUUGUAAUAAGCCUAGUUUAAAGUCAGGACACCGAGAAACAGAAAUAAUCCCAAAUAUACUCACUGCAAUUUGAAAACCUUUCAGACACCUUCAAGCAGCUAGAAUUUCUCAAAGCCCUGCUGAGCUCUUGUAAAUCCUGUCCUGUCAGGGAGUAAGACCUUGAUUUCCUGGGACACACCAGUAAGAGGGGAUUCCAGUCUCUGCUGAGAGCAUCCAGAAUGGUGCAGAAGUGCAGAAAGGAGUGGCACAGACCACCUCCCCUUUUGUCUUCAGUUGACUUCAAGAAAUUAAGAAAUUAAAUGAAAUUUACUUUUCUUUCUGGGGAAUUCAAAGUGAAAGUCAGAAAGUGAAAACUAAAACAGUGUUCUGCCCUGUUGAAAUGAAAUACAUGACCUGCAAUUCCCAGCCAUCACCAGCACACCUCGAGUUAAUGCAGCUCUGUGCUUAUCCAAUUAGGAAAGAAUGGGGCAACAAACAAGAUCUCAUCAAGCUGAUAGACCAGGAAAUAUUUGAUCUGAAUUUUCUCCAUAGA